rnacentral:tmRNA from 1 species
GGGGAUGUAAUGGUUUCGACGGGGGAAGUGGUGGCGGAGGAAGCGAGCCGGGUUGGCGCCACCCCGCAAAAAAGGUGCACAAGCAUAAUUGCAAACGAUAAUCUAGCUUUCGCUGCUUAAAGCAGCUGACUCCCCACCCUCUGUGCCUGCGGUGAGGGAUGGGGAGACAAAUAGCAGGCUACUCCGGACCCAGCUUUUCGUAAGCCCGGAGGAAAUCUACGGAAAUAGCGACGCCGGAUUCUGUUUGUGGAAGCCGGCUUAGCGAAAUCAAAUCACAAACUACGCUCGUAGAUGCCUCCGUGGUCAUUCUUUCGGACAGGGGUUCGACUCCCCUCAUGUCCAUCU